rnacentral:rRNA from 1 species
UACAGAGGCCCCAAGCGUUACUGAGAAUCACUGGGUUUAAAGGGUGCGUAGGUGGCGCGUUAAGUCCGUUGUGAAAUCCCUGGGCUCAACCCAGGAAAUGCUUCGGAUACUGGCGUGCUUGAGGCUAGUAGGGGUCACUGGAACUGACGGUGGAGCGGUGAAAUGCGUAGAUAUCGUCUGGAACGCCGAAGGUGAAAACAGCUCGCUGGGGCUGCGCUGACGCUGAGACACGAAAGCCAGGGGAGCGAACGGG